CAGCCGCCGCGGUAAUACGAAGGGUGCAAGCGUUACUCGGAAUUACUGGGCGUAAAGCGUGCGUAGGUGGUGGUUUAAGUCCGUUGUGAAAGCCCUGGGCUCAACCUGGGAAUUGCAGUGGAUACUGGGUCACUAGAGUGUGGUAGAGGAUAGUGGAAUUUCCGGUGUAGCAGUGAAAUGCGUAGAGACCGGAAGGAACAUCUGUGGCGAAGGCGACUAUCUGGGCCAACACUGACACUGAGGCACGAAAGCGUGGGGAGCAAACAGGAUUAGAUACCCCCGUAGUCCCUGUCUCUUAUAC
rnacentral:rRNA from 1 species